AUUGAACGCUGGCGGCAGGCCUAACACAUGCAAGUCGAACGCGUGGCGGACGGGUGAGUAAUGUCUGGGAAACUGCCUGAUGGAUGGGGAUAACUACUGGAAACGGUAGCUAAUACCGCAUACCAUCCGAUGUUCCCAGAUGGGAUUAGCUGGUUGGUGGGGUAACGGCUCACCAAGGCGACGAUCCAUAGCUGGUCUGAGAGGAUGACCGGCCACACUGGAACGGAGACACGGUCCAGACUCCUACGGGAGGCAGCAGUGGGUAAUAUUGCACAAUGGGCGCAAGCCUGAUGCAGCCAUGCCGCGUGGAUGAAGAAGGCCUUCGGGUUGUAAAGUACUUUCAGCGGGGAGGCGUUACCCGAAGAAGAAGCACCGGCUAACUCCGUGCCAGCAGCCGCGGUAAUUC
rnacentral:rRNA from 1 species